rnacentral:rRNA from 1 species
AACAGGAUUAGAUACCCUGGUAGUCCACGCUGUAAACGAUGUCGACUUGGAGGUUGUGCCCUUGAGGCGUGGCUUCCGGAGCUAACGCGUUAAGUCGACCGCCUGGGGAGUACGGCCGCAAGGUUAAAACUCAAAUGAAUUGACGGGGGCCCGCACAAGCGGUGGAGCAUGUGGUUUAAUUCGAUGCAACGCGAGGAACCUUACCUACUCUUGACAUCCAGAGAAUUUGCUAGAGAUAGCUUAGUGCCUUCGGGAACUCUGAGACAGGUGCUGCAUGGCUGUCGUCAGCUCGUGUUGUGAAAUGUUGGGUUAAGUCCCGCAACGAGCGCAACCCUUAUCCUUUGUUGCCAGCACGUAAUGGUGGGAACUCAAAGGAGACUGCCGGUGAUAAACCGGAGGAAGGUGGGGAUGACGUCAAGUCAUCAUGGCCCUUACGAGUAGGGCUACACACGUGCUACAAUGGCAUAUACAAAGAGAAGCGAACUCGCGAGAGCAAGCGGACCUCAUAAAGUAUGUCGUAGUCCGGAUUGGAGUCUGCAACUCGACUCCAUGAAGUCGGAAUCGCUAGUAAUCGUAGAUCAGAAUGCUACGGUGAAUACGUUCCCGGGCCUUGUACACACCGCCCGUCACACCAUGGGAGUGGGUUGCAAAAGAAGUAGGUAGCUUAACCUUCGGGAGGGCGCUUACCACUUUGUGAUUCAUGACUGGGGUGAAGUCGUAACAAGGUAACC